GAUGAACGCUGGCGGCGUGCCUAAUACAUGCCAGUCGAGCGAACGGACGAGAAGCUUGCUUCUCUGAUGUUAGCGGCGGACGGGUGAGUAACACGUGGAUAACCUACCUAUAGGACUGGGAUAACUUCGGGAAACCGUAGCUAAUACCGGAUAAUAUUUUGAACCGCAUGGUUCAAAAGUGAAAGACGGUCUUGCUGUCACUUAUAGAUGGAUCCGCGCUGCAUUAGCUAGUUGGUAAGGUAACGGCUUACCAAGGCAACGAUGCAUAGCCGACCUGAGAGGGUGAUCGGCCACACUGGAACUGAGACACGGUCCAGACUCCUACGGGAGGCAGCAGUAGGGAAUCUUCCGCAAUGGGCGAAAGCCUGACGGAGCAACGCCGCGUGAGUGAUGAAGGUCUUCGGAUCGUAAAACUCUGUUAUUAGGGAAGAACAUAUGUGUAAGUAACUGUGCACAUCUUGACGGUACCUAAUCAGAAAGCCACGGCUAACUACGUG
rnacentral:rRNA from 1 species